CACGGUGUAAACCGUGUAUUCCUCCGGUUUGAGCUGCCUCGCACGCGUGACAGCUAGCCACACGUGCGCGGAGAGGGAUUGGAAAGUAGAGAACGGCGUCGUAUUAUUUGCGCCUUCUCCUGGGUUAGUAUUGACUUUUGACUUGAUUUGAUCAAUUGCUGAUUCGGAAAACUUGAACACCCUGUCACGCAUAGGUGGAUCCACGCUGGCGCUAACGUCGCCGUUCGUUUCCGACUUGGCAUGUUCCGGCGCGUCGGAUGGCUUAGAUAGGUUGAGUUUGACUCGAGUGUCACGAGCUUUAGUUCUUUCGAGGAAAGG
rnacentral:lncRNA from 1 species